CAGCAGCCGCGGUAAUACGGAGGGUGCAAGCGUUAAUCGGAAUUACUGGGCGUAAAGCGCACGCAGGCGGUCUGUCAAGUCGGAUGUGAAAUCCCCGGGCUCAACCUGGGAACUGCAUUCGAAACUGGCAGGCUAGAGUCUUGUAGAGGGGGGUAGAAUUCCAGGUGUAGCGGUGAAAUGCGUAGAGAUCUGGAGGAAUACCGGUGGCGAAGGCGGCCCCCUGGACAAAGACUGACGCUCAGGUGCGAAAGCGUGGGGAGCAAACAGGAUUAGAUACCCCUGUAGUCCCUGUCUCUUAUCC
rnacentral:rRNA from 1 species